GCGACCCCAGGAUGAGCG
rnacentral:rRNA from 2 species